AUGCUCACUUUGGCAGGACAUAUACUAAAACUGGAACAAUACAGAGAAGAUUAGCAUGGUCCCUGCACAAGGAUGACACAAAAAUUCAUGAAGCGUUCCAUAUUUUC
rnacentral:snRNA from 1 species